rnacentral:rRNA from 1 species
UACGUAGGUGGCAAGCGUUGUCCGGAUUUACUGGGCGUAAAGAGCGCGCAGGCGGCCAGUCAAGUCGAAUUGUGAAAGCCCCCGGCUUAACUGGGGAGGUCAUUCGAUACUGCUCGGCUCGAAGACAGGAGAGGGAAGCGGAAUUCCCGGUGUAGUGGUGAAAUGCGUAGAUAUCGGGAGGAACACCAGUGGCGAAGGCGCUUCUGGCCUGUUCUUGACGCUGAGG